rnacentral:lncRNA from 1 species
AAGAGCCAGAGAACAAGGGUUGAAGAGAGGAAGAGCUCGAAGCUAAAGGAUUGCCGGAUUAACUCAGGUAAGGGGGGUUUAUCAUCGUUUAAUGGGUAUUAUGGGAUAACAUGUAAUGGGUAGUGAUAAACCAUUGAUUUGAAUCUAAUUGGAAUGAUGCAUGAUGAAAUUGUGAACUUUUGGACGAACGAAAUUUGGGUUAUAAUUGAAGGAAA